AUGUCUCUGUUUCUCUCUGAUAAAUAUUCCAAAUUGGUAUCUUUCUUGGAGAAGGCCACUUCUGCUCUUAACGAAGCCAAAGAAUCGCCUCCACCGAAACGGUUAAGACUCGCAACAAUACCAGAGAUAGUGUUUGAUGGGUCUACGCAGGCAAGAAAUGCAGUGGAAAAUGCUCCUUCAAGAGGUAUAGAAGGAGCUAAAUCUUUGCUUCAUGUUUUUGAAGAGAAGCGGACUGAAGUUUCGUCCAAGCACGUUGGAGCUGUUACUAAUGCUUCUGAUGGAGCAUCGAGCAGCAGCACCGUGGCAAGCCGAGACCUCCUUGUAUCCACAGACCAAUCAGGUCACAGUAUUUAA